AAACGUCACAUCCGAUGGACAAAACACAUGUCCACAUGGAUUCCUGAAGAACUUCAAUCUUCAAGAUAGGGAAUGAUCUUUUAUAGUUGACAACAAUGCCUGGUAAAAAGAAGAAGUUUAUUGACAAAAAGAGUGCUGUGACAUUUCACUUGGUACACAGAAGUCAAAGAGAUCCACUCCAGGCCGAUGAAGAAUCAUCCAAACAUGUUCUUCUGCCAGUGGAGAAAAAGGAGCCAAGUGCAGAACAGAAGAGAGAAGAGCUACAGAAAUAUGGCAUAUUUUUUGACGAUGAAUAUGAUUACCUGCAGCAUUUAAAAGAUGUGAAUGAAGUUUAUGAGUUGGAAGAGCAUGUGCCAAGAGAGAACAAGAAUGUGAAGAUUAAUCUUCCUUCCUCAGUAUUUGCCACUGAUCUGGAGAAGGGUGUGGGACUUCUGAAUGAAGCAGUGCCUAUCAGAGGCCCCAGACCUGAUUGGGAUCCGGAUAUUGUGGCGGCCCUGGAUGAUGAUUUUGACUACAAUGACCCAGAAAACCAGCUGGAGGAUGACUUCAUAUCAAUGGCAAACACAGGAGAUGGUCCUAGAUUCGAGGAGGGAUAUGAAGGAAAUGGAUCUGAUGAUGGUUUUGACUCUGAUGAAUGUGAAUUUUCUGAUGAUGACUUUGGAAGUGAUGACAGAGAAAAGAUGUUUAUGGAUGAAGAAACAAAGUCCCGGUUCACUAAUUAUUCAAUGUCGUCCUCAGUAAUUAAGAGAAAUGAUGGACUUACUCUUCUAGAUGAUAGAUUUGAAAAGCUUUAUGAGCAAUAUGAGGACACAGAAAUAGGUGCUCUAGAUAAUGAAGAUGUCGAUGGUUACGUCGGACAAGGCAGCCACAUGCUGGACACAAUAUUGGAAGAUUUUGAAAAACAACAAGAGAAUAAGUGAGCUCACCGAAUAUAAUAAAAUGUGUAUCGCUAACACAGAAUAAAUAGGGAUUAGUUAUGAAAAGUGAUUUCAUACAUGUAAAUAUUAAGCGUUGAUUAAAGAGCAAGUAUUUGUUUAUGAAAAUGAGAAUAUGUUUCUCUUUGUCUUUGGAUCAUACUAAGGAGAUGCAUGUUUAAAGCAAACUAUGCAGUAAGGUUUUGGUAUAAUUUUCAUCUGCAGUCGUAGAACCUUGCAUGCUGUGAUGGAUGAUGAACGACCUGACGACCUUGGGAUUGAGGUCAAAAGUGAUGAGGAGUCUGACAGUGGGGGUGACCUUGUACCCAUGGUGAUAGAGAAGCCUAAGGAGAAAUGGGACUGUGAAUCCAUUUUAAGUAUGCUAGAGAGGAAGAUAAAGUCCUCGUGUCUGUUAAUUUGUGUGAUUUGAAAAUUACUCUAAAUCAUGUUUUAUUUCUUUUGCAGGUACAUAUUCAAAUCUUUAUAACCACCCCAAGUUAAUAGAGGAACCAGGAAAAGAUAAAAUCAAAUUGACAUCUCGGCUGAUGAUUCCAGAGGGAGUGUUAGAACAGCCAGGAUUAACGCGGAAACAGAUUGAACAGGAAAUGAGGGAGAGUAGGCGGGCUGACAAAGCCAGUACGUACCGGCCGAAAAAUGAGACAGCAGAGGAACGGAAACAGAGGAAGCAGGCCACCAAGCAGGAGAGAAAGGAAAGAAGAGUGGAGAAAAAGGCCAACAAAGAAGCAUUUAGUGCAGAGAAAGUUCGACAAACAAAAGAGCAGCUCAACCUACAGACAAACUUACAGGGUCUUAAGUUAUCAUGAUACCAAGACUGGAGAAGCUUGAACUAGCAAAGUCAAAGUCUGGGUCAGGUGGCAGCUGUGCCCAUCUAUUAUGGUCAGUCUCAACAAGUGAACACCGAAAAGGACUUGUCUGGAUGUGCAAGUUUUUCCACUGUGUUGUCAAGAUAUGUUGACUAUUAGUGACUAGGAAUGGACAUAUUAGGAAGUUACUGCUUCCCAGCUUUAUUGUUUUUGAUGAUGUUUAUGAAAAUUGUGGACUUUUAGCAAGAUAUAAAAAGAAUUUUUGAGUUAUGAAUAUACAUGUAUAUUUAUAUUUUCCAUCUGUUAUUAUAUUAAAUGUCAUCCAUAUGUUUU
rnacentral:misc_RNA from 1 species